ACUCCUACGGGAGGCAGCAGUGGGGAUAUUGCGCAAUGGGCGGAAGCUGACGCAGCGACGCCGCGUGGGGGAUGACGGCCUUCGGGUUGUAANCCUCUUUCGCCAGGGACGAAGCUUUUGUGACGGUACCUGGAGAAGAAGCACCGGCCAACNANGNGCCAGCAGCCGCGGUAACACGUAGGGUGCGAGCGUUGUCCGGAAUUAUUGGGCGUAAAGAGCUCGUAGGCGGUGUGUCGCGUCGGCCGUGAAAACUUGGGGCUUAACUCUGAGCGUGCGGUCGAUACGGGCAUCACUUGAGUUCGGCAGGGGAGACUGGAAUUCCUGGUGUAGCGGUGAAAUGCGCAGAUAUCAGGAGGAACACCGGUGGCGAAGGCGGGUCUCUGGGCCGAUACUGACGCUGAGGAGCGAAAGCGUGGGGGAGCGAACAGGAUUAGAUACCCUGGUAGUCCACGCCGUAAACGUUGGGCGCUAGGUGUGGGGACCAUUCCACGGUUUCUGCGCCGCAGCUAACGCAUUAAGCGCCCCGCCUGGGGAGUACGGCCGCAAGCUAAAAACUCAAAGGAAUUGACGGGGGCCCGCACAAGCGGCGGAGCAUGUGGAUUAAUUCGAUGCAACGCGAAGAACCUUACCUGGGUNUGNCAUGCACAGGAUCGCGGCAGAGAUGUCGUUUCCCUUGUGGCCUGUGUGCAGGCGGUGCAUGGCUGUCGUCAGCUCGUGUCGUGAGAUGUUGGGUUAAGUCCCGCAACGAGCGCAACCCUUAUUCCAUGUUGCCAGCACGUAGUGGUGGGGACUCAUGGGAGACUGCCGGGGUCAACUCGGAGGAAGGUGGGGAUGACGUCAAGUCAUCAUGCCCCUUAUGUCCAGGGCUNCNNACAUGCUACAAUGGCUCAUACAGAGGGCUGCGAGACCGUGAGGUGGAGCGAAUCCCUUANNGUGAGUCUCAGUUCGGAUCGGGGUCUGCAACUCGACCCCGUGAAGUUCGGAGUCGCUAGUAAUCGCAGAUCAG
rnacentral:rRNA from 1 species